UGGGGCUGAAGCAGGUCCCAAGGGUAUGGCUGUUCGCCAUUUAAAGAGGUACGCGAGCUGGGUUUAGAACGUCGUGAGACAGUUCGGUCCCUAUCUACCGUGGGCGCUGGAAAUUUGAGAGGAUCUGCUCCUAGUACGAGAGGACCAGAGUGGACGAACCUCUGGUGUACCGGUUGUGACGCCAGUCGCAUCGCCGGGUAGCUAUGUUCGGAAGGGAUAACCGCUGAAAGCAUCUAAGCGGGAAGCCUACCUCAAGAUAAGAUUUCCCUGUGACUUUAUGUCACCUAAAGAGCCGUUGAAGACUACGACGUUGAUAGGUUGGAUGUGGAAGCAUAGCGAUAUGUGAAGCUGACCAAUACUAAUUGCUCGUGAGGCUUGACUAUACAACACCCA
rnacentral:rRNA from 1 species